CCUACGGGUGGCAGCAGUGAGGAAUAUUGGUCAAUGGACGAGAGUCUGAACCAGCCAAGUAGCGUGAAGGAUGACUGCCCUAUGGGUUGUAAACUUCUUUUAUAAAGGAAUAAAACGAGGCACGUGUGCCUUUUUGCAUGUACUUUAUGAAUAAGGAUCGGCUAACUCCGUGCCAGCAGCCGCGGUAAUACGGAGGAUCCGAGCGUUAUCCGGAUUUAUUGGGUUUAAAGGGAGCGUAGAUGGGUUGUUAAGUCAGUUGUGAAAGUUUGCGGCUCAACCGUAAAAUUGCAAUUGAUACUGGCAGUCGUGAGUACAGUUGAGGUAGGCGGAAUUCGUGGUGUAGCGGUGAAAUGCUUAGAUAGCACGAAGAACCCCGAUUGCGAAGGCAGCUUACUAAACUGUGACUGACAUUGAUGCUCGAAAGUGUGGGUAUCAAACAGGAUUAGAUACCCUAGUAGUC
rnacentral:rRNA from 1 species